AAGAAACGACCACGAACCCUAAUCCAAUCCAAUUCAAUAACCUUGUGAUAGCUAUCUUAACAGUUUUGAAAAACCCUAACCGCCGAACCUAUCGAUGCCCUUGCCGCUGCCGCAACGCUCUUAACAGGUUGAAAAAUCUAUAAUGGGGUGGUCAGAGAGUAGAGGUAUGAAAAGUUCAAAGAUGAAUAGAAUAGAACUAUUAAAAGGUCACAAUGGUUCACCACCGCCAGGCCAAACAAUGUGAUUGAAAUUGCUGAGAAGAAAAUCGAACGAAAUGAAAAACAUUGGAAGAAAAUAGAAGGAUGAAGUUGAGAGCAACAUUCAACGAGAGUGGAAAAGAGAAGAGCGGAGAGUAAAAUUGUC